AAAGUGUCCAGCCCUGUGGAAGUGGAGGCAUAGGUAUUCAUGAGCCACUGAAUGUGUACUUGGAACAGCGUCCUCUGCAAGAGCAGAUUCUCUGCACCUUUAUUUGCUGAAGAAAAAAUUUUAUGUUUGACGAAAAAAAGUUUUUGAGACUGGAUAGCCAUGGAUGUCCUGGAACUUACUAAGUGGACAGGUUGGCCUCAAACUCACAGGUAUCUUACUGCUGUUGCUUCCCAAGUUCUGAUAUUAAAGGUGGAAGAAGCAUGAAAGAGUGAAUCACACUUUCUAAGUUUUAUGUGGUAGUUUUUUUAAUAUAUCUGCAAACACAGUGAUGGUAACCACCAAUGGAG
ensembl:lncRNA